AAGUCAAGCGCCACGCGGGGAUUCGGCGUGGGCGAGGAGCUUCCCUCCCCGGGCGGCCUCAGUUUCUUCUUCUUGAAGGUGACCAGUGGCGCCAACCGCGGAACAUUCCACCCUGCCAGUCUGGCGCCGGCCUUGCGGCUGCCUCACCCGGGCACCAUCAACCUCAUCUCCUCUGCAGACCCAGAGCCACUGAUGAGCUUCUCUGAGGGGCAGCUCUGCCUUCCGAAUCUGUCCGGUACCCUCAAGGGACCACUCAACCCAGUUCUGGAUGUUUCUACACGGGAGGCCCCGGCACAGCUCUCGACCCGUCGGGCGAGGCCUUGCUCUCCCCUCUGUCAAGCCAGGCAGGGAUUCUGCUGCUGGAACUGGCGGGGCUGCAGGGCCGAAGGGGAAGGCACCGGGCACGCGGCGGGCUGUCAGCGUCUGCUCCUCCGCUUUGCCUUAGCUCGUAGGGAGAGGAGCGUCCUGAUCUGUGUGUGUGUGUCUGUGUGUGCAUGUGCGUGUAUGCACGUGUGUGUUUGCUUAGCCUCAGUGUGGAGUGUGGGUCAGGCUGCCCCUCACCCAGCGGGGGUAGCCCCUUUACAGACAUGCAGACCCCGUUGUCCUGCCUCUACCCACCUGUGCCCGGGGGGCCCGCCGUUCCUCUGCAGCCGCCCAGGUGCACACCACCUCUUCUGUUACCUCGGGGACUGGCUGGCUGGUCUCCCAGGGCCCUGAGAGGCCUAGGGACUGGAAAGGCCCACCCCCCCCACCCCAUGCUCCCGCCCGGGGGCUGCAAUGCAGCGGCAGCCAUCGGGGUCCCCUCCCCGGAAGACAGAUGUCAGCCCCCCCAGGGCCCCUUCCAGGCCCCAGGGCUACUUGCAGGCAGGAGAGGGUCUGGCAUCUUACCCGGGACCGUCACCCCUAGGGCUGCUGACCGGGUGCAGCCAGUGGUCCCUUGGAGGAGCCCGGCUGCACUCCACAGCAGUUGGCAGUCCCAGCGCACCCCUUUGAGGCUGCUCUCCCCAGUUCUCUCUCGGGGCCUGCGCUCUUCCGGGCGCCUGUCCAGGAGAAUCUGUGCUUUGUGUCCCCGACUUGACUCGCGCCUGCUCCUUCCAUCGGGGUAGAAACUCCCCGCGGGCCGGACCACUGCUUAUGCAGGGCUGCGAGGGCCUUCGGUUCCUAUCCGUCGGUCAGAUGAACGAAUCCACCAAAAGAAGAGCUCAGCGAGUUGGAGCCGUCCACGUGAUGUCACACUACGCAGCCAUUUCCAGCAGGUUUUCUGAAUGAUAUUUAGUAUUCUGGGCAAACGUUCACAGCAGGAGCAAAGUGAAUACGGCAGGUUACAAGCUGUCACUGUGGAGAGGUACAUGGAUGGAUACGGUGCCUCCAUCCAGGCGGAGAGUAACCCCUCCCAGCGCAGCCCUUUACCUGCUGCCCGGUCCCUUGCUCCUGCCAGCGCGUGGGGUUGUGACAGUGACCGUUUGCUGAAAGGACGGAUGGGUUCUUUCAUCCACCGCCAUUCCUCGCUGCAGCCAGCGAGUACUGUGGUGCACCUACUGUGUGCAGGCUCUCCUCUCUGCAGCCUGCCAGCUCCCGGCCUGAUCUGCUUUGACCGCUCCGACAUGCCGGCAGCAGCCCUACCGGCCCUGUGGCCCGAGGCCCUGCCCCGGUUCACAGGACUCCGGCUGAGCAUCGGAGGAGCCCGGGGCUGAUCGCCCUCCAGGGCCAGAGCCCCGAGCACCAGCCCCCUCUCGCAGCUAAAUUACCAGCUGAUGACUUUGAACUUAUGCAGACUCAGCUUACACUUUGUUCGUGUGAAUAUGGAGAAAGCCAACGUGUUUCCUCAGCUCCUCUUAGUCCGCAGGAAUUACCUCUGAACUUUGUUUUCCUUGCAGAUCUUUUGGGGGCUUAGUUUUAGGUUUUAUUAGGAGGGGUCCAGUUUAACUCUUGCCCUGCUACGUGGUUCCUAACUCCUAAGACAUAGCCUCUCUGGGGGCUCAGCCGGAUGUCAAGAGUAUUUAACAAACUGUUGAGAUUUCUCCAUUGCGACCAAGCAGGGAUUUCGGUGUUCCUCUGUUUUUUCCCCCGGUUCAGCUCAAACCUCUAGUGUCUCCAAUUUGCUUUCAGUCCCGUAGGGUCCACUCUCUGAAAGUGUUGGAGGGUCUUGCUCUGAGCACGUACAGCACAUCCUCCAGCGGCGGACUCAUCGGGAGACCCCACAUCGACUUCCGGGGUCCCCCCCCCGCUGCACACCUCCUCUGCGAUGCCUUCCCUUGCUGGUCCCAGCUGCCCCGACCUCCAACUGCUGUCUUCGCAGCUCACCACGGCCGCUGAGCUCGGCUAAGCCCCAGGUCCCUGUGCUGCACCCAGCAGAUUCUCCCCCGGAGGAGAACUGGUGAUCGUGGGCACCCCUGUGGGCUUUCCUUCUCUCAAGGAUAACAAGCCUUGCACUGCCUGAUGUCCACUGCCCGCCAAGAAUUGCCUCAUAGUUUCAUCCAGUUUCGUAACUGUUGACCACGGAAGGGAUAGCUGAGUGCCAGUUAAUUCUAUCUUGGCCAGAUGGCAAGUGGCUUCAUUCCCCGGCCCCUGCUUCUACUUAGAAUAGAAUUCAAGUUCCGUGUUUGGUCUUCAAGGCUCUGCAAUCCCUAGUUCCCUCUCAGAUUUCACCCUCCUGCCCCAUUGUCACUGAAUCUCCAGGCACAGAGGCCUUCUUUCUGUUCUUCAGGUACACCAAGCUCUUUGCUACAUCUGGGACCGUGCACCUGUUCCAUCUACCGAGUGUUCUGAGCCCAGAUCUCUGCAUGACUGGUUAUUCAGGUCUCAGUUCCAAAUCACCGCGUCAGAGAGCCUUUCCCAGGCCAAUCUUUGUAACAAAAACUACAGUCCUCUCCACCUCCCCAUCGUUUAUUUUCUUUAUAACACUGAUUGACAUCUGAAAUGAUCACGCUUGUUAACGUUUUUAUUUGUUUCUUCUCCGUCUCUCCAAACGGAACCUGCGCCCCACCGAGCAGAAGUGCGUCUGUCUUCUUCCCCGUGGUGUCUGGGGGCGAGGCUCAGACCUGGCACGCUUGACUCCUUUGAAGGAUUUUCAUUGGCCCCUCCCCUUCCUCUGACACCUGCUUGGCACCCUUAUUUCUUGAAUGAAGAGUCGUUUCGUUGAAAGCGAAGAGGCAGUCAGGAAGUAAGAAGUCUCUCCUGCUAUUAAGCCUGAUCUCAGCCUAAGACCCUCUGGUGGUGUUCCCUGAUCAGGGAUCGAACCCAGGCCCUCGGCAGUGAGAACGCAGAAACCUAACCACUGGACCGCCAGGGAAUUCUCACCAACUCUUUCUUAAAGAUGAGACUGUGUCUCCUAAAACCAUCUCUGCAAUGUUCUUGAGGCAGCUUCUGCAAAGACGCCUCCCGGGCCCUUGUCUGGGAGGAGCUCAAGACAGUGGGUGGCACUGAGCAGUGAGGAUAACGGUGAGGCAUCAUCUCACAGCCCACGGUGGGGACAAAGGAGAACAGGUGUGCAGAGGUGCUUCAAACAUGCUGAGCACGUGCUUAUCGUCAUGGCGACGGAGAUGAUUCCUGCAUCACGGAAAAGUGAUCUGGAGCCCCGGCUGCCUUAGCACAAGCGGGCUAAGGAACCCACUCCCUGCGGUGGGCAAUUUCUGGGGUGUGAGUCAAGCUCUCGGUCACACCACUUCACCCUCACACCUCCCACCCUUCUCCUCCUUAGCAGCGGGAACUUUGGGCUAAUUACAGAAGUGAACUAGUUACCAGGGGCAGCUGACUCCACAUAGUAUAAUCUGUGAAACACGAGCUGGCACGCUGCAGGCCCCCUUCCCCGAGGGCUGGGGAAGCUGCAGGCUGUGGGGUGAUCCUGGGAGGGCCCUGGCUACUCUGGACAGCCCCCCAUUCUCACCUCCUCCCCCGUCUUGGCUCAGCUGGUGAAGCUACAGAGAGGCCUAGGGCAUAAGCUUGCUGCUGGGGAGGCCGUUUAGCUAUUCUUGGGCGCAAUGUGGAGGUCUCAGGUGGUCCUCUAGUAGUCAAGGUGUUCCAGCUUUUUCCUAGCCCAGGCCUGGGGAGCGCCUGGCACUGGUCUCACCUCUCCUCUGCUGAUGCCCUUGGAGACGGGGCCAGGAAGCUUUCCCUGGAUCCCAGCUGGGCCUCGGACUCCUUCUCAACGCUUUCCCACGCAGCCUCUGCUGAUUGAUCAGGGCUGGCAUUUGAGAUGAAAGCGAUUUGCCAGCCCUGCCUUAAAUCUUCCAACUCUGAAAGAAUCCAAGAAAAACGUUAGCUCCGGUGUGAAGCAACCCGUAGCUGUGUAGAGGGAACCCCCUGGCAAUGCGUGGGGGACCUUCUCCUUCGGAGAGGGCUUGAGCCCUGAGUAGAGAGAGCAGAGGAGGGACGCUAAAGAAGUGUGACAACAUCGUCUCCCCCGAGGCUCCUGGUCUGCUGCCGGGGUUCUCUGCUUGCUCCAACCCCGUCAAUCCCCUGCUUGCCCGCCCCCAGGUUGAGGUGCCCUUUGAGGGAGGGGCACCGCAGAGGCCACAAUGGCCAAGGGUCAAGCCCCAGCUCUGCCACCUAAGUAACUCAGACAGUUACUGAAUGUCUCUGAUCCUCCGUUUUCUCGCCUGUAGAGUGAGGGUAACAUUUCCUGCCUUGAAGUUAUGCUGUGAGGAAUAGAUGCGUUAGUAGAUGGUAUUUAAUCGAUGCUAGGAGUAAUCUUUUGGGGUCACAGUUAAAUUAUCAGUAUUUCAAAAAUUCUUAGUGGUACCUAAAACACAAGGGCCUCACGAUGGGCAGGGAUGUUCGACUUGCUGGAAUAUGGUGUGUACGACGUUUAGAACCGUGCCUGGCACGUAGUAAAUGCUAAUAAACGUUAGCUGUUAUUAUUUCCAUAUAAAUCAGGUAAAGUCCAGAUCUUGCUCUGUUGCCCUCUCCCUACCCCCCAUUCAAAUAAGGCAAAUAAAAAUCACUGAAAACAGAA